AGUGAACGCUGGCGGCGUGCCUAAUACAUGCAAGUCGAACGGAGUGGCGCCCGGGGGAGUAAUAUAUAGCUAAUCUGCCCCUUGCUGGAGGCCAACAGUUAGACAUGACUGCUAAUACUCCAUAGCAAGGGAUUAGACUAUAUCGUAUCAGAUAGUCGGUGGGGUAACGGCCUACCGAGGCUAUGACGCGUAACUGGUAUGAGAGGAUGAGCAGUCAAAUGGGAACUGAGACACGGUCCAAACUCCUACGGGAGGCAGCAGUAGGGAAUAUUGCGCAAUGGGGGAAACCCUGACGCAGCAACGCCGCGGGGAGGAUGACACUUUUCGGAGCGUAAACUCCUUUUGUUAGGGAAGCGGUAUCUAACCAGAAAGCCACGGCUAACUACGUGCCAGCAGCCGCGGUAAUAC
rnacentral:rRNA from 1 species